AUCGUGGUCACAUUAUGCUAAUAUUAAGGAUAUCAGUAAUAGUAAUAACAAUGAUACAAACAAUAGUUGGACUUAACUGUUGUAAAAUGUAUAAUGAGAUUAGGAAUGAUUUGAAUCAUUUGAGAAAUGUGGAAGUAUAGUAAAAGUUGGUUGUUGAACAUGAGGAAGGCUAAACUGCUACCAGCAUGCUCUGCAUCGUUGUUUGGCAUUUAGCAAAUUUUUCUGCUUUUUUAAAUAACUCUGGAUUGAACCCUCACAUGUUCCUUCUUCUAAUAUGAACAUCGAUGAAGUUGUACCAGCAGGGACAUUUUUGACCUUGUUUCUGCAUGAGAACUCUACUUGUUGUCAGAGUUGCCACUGACAGUUUGUUUGUGUUUUAGCUUAUCCUCUGUGUGUUUAGUAUUUCCUGUCCUUAGUUCCUGUGUAGUGCUCUUAUUUUGGUUCAGCUUCCUGUUUGUCUCCCUGUGUCCUGUUUUCACUCAGCUGCGGCUGAUUGGCAUCUGGUCACACCUGAUGUCAAUCAGCCAGCUCCUAUUUUACCUGCUUUGUUCCUCCAGUCAGGGCUGGAUCAUUGUAUUGUAUUGCAUUGUCAUUGCCACAUGUCACUCUUGUCGUGCCAUUUUGUUACAGCUACUACCUGUCGUGCUACAUUUCGUCCUGGUCGUCAUAGCGUAUAUCAGCUGACCAGGGAUCAGUUUCCGUGGAGGAUGCACUAGCUGUUCAAAGUCGUGACCAGGGUUGGACCACUCCUCUAUGCAUCAGUUGGUGACGCCUCCACACUGCUAACCUUUCUACAUGCAGAGGAUACUCCUGCUGAGUUUCCUAUGGACUGGGCCCACACAUUAUUAACCAUAUCCACUCGGCAUUCCUUGCACCGGUCACCCACUGCGGACUCUCCCAAGGU